UAUAUAAUCAGUAAUUAUAUAUAAUAUAUGUGGAUAAUAUUGGUAAAUAAAUAUCUUUUAACGCAAUGACGUGUGCUCGCGUGGUGUCUCGCGAGGUUAGUUAUAUUUAUUGCUUGCUCGUACAAAUCUAAUCUAAGGUAUACGUUACAGUAACUAUAGAUUUUUGAUACAGAUUUAUCUUUGAAAUCAUAUUUUAUAUAUAAGCAGAUGUAAGUGAUAAUUACUGUUUUUGCAUUAUGUAAAAUUUGCCUUAUUUUAGAUAUACCGAUGAAUUUAAUGUUCGAGAAGAUCUGAUGGGAUUAGCUAUUGGUGCUCAUGAUGCAAAUAUUCAACAAGCGUGAAAAGUUGAUAACAUUACAAAUAUAGUUAGAAGAAAAUUCAUGCACAUUUUAGAUAUAUAGAGAAGCGCAUGAAGCUGUUAAGAAAGACCGAUCUAUGCAGGAAUACAGCAGUAACCUAAAAAUAGAUAGUGACAGUGUGACAGUCGUGACCAUCGCCGCGUGAUAGAUGAUAGUGAUAGUGAAAUAUAUAUAUUGACGGCAGGGAGCUGAUGCCGAGGAGAUCUUUAAGAAGGAAGGUAUAUCCAAAAUCGCACACGAACAUUUUAUAUUCAACUAUAUGGUAUACAAUUUUGCCGCUAUAUAUUGACCGCAGGGAGCUUAUACCGAAGAGAUCUUUAAGAAGGAAGGUGUAUCCAAAAUUGCACAUGUAUGUACGUAUAUGAUGUCUUGUAAAUUGAAAAAG